UGUUGCGGUUAAAGCUCGUAGUUGGAUUUCUGUCGAAAACAGCCGGUCCGCUCUAUGAGCGUGUAUCUGGUUUGGUUUUGGCAUCCUCUUGAAGAACGUAUCUGCGCUUCACUGCGUGGUGCGGUAUUCAAGACUUUUACUUUGAGGAAAUUAGAGUGUUCACGGCAGGCAAGCGCCUUGAAUAUAUUAGCAUGGAAUAAUAAUAUAGGAUUUUGGUUCUAUUUUGUUGGUUUCUAGGGCUAGAAUAAUGAUUAAUAGGGAUAAUUGGGGGCAUUUGUAUUAACGCGUCAGAGGUGGAAUUCUUGGAUUGCGUUACGACAAACUACUGCGAAAGCAUUUGCCAAGGAUGUUUUCAUUGAUCAAGAACGAAAGUAUGGGGAUCGAAGAUGAUUAGAUACCGUCGUAGUUUUUUCCAUAAACUAUGCCAACUAGAGAUCGGUGGUCGUUCUUUUUAUGACUCCAUCGGCACCUUAUGAGAAAUCAAAGUCUUUGGGUUCCGGGGGGAGUAUGGUCGCAAGGCUGAAACUUAAAGGAAUCGACGGAAGGGCACCACCAGGAGUGGAGCCUGCGGCUUAAUUUGACUCAACACGGGGAAACUCACCAGGUCCAAACAUAGUAAGGAUUGACAGAUUGAUAGCUCUUUCUUGAUUCUAUGGGU
rnacentral:rRNA from 1 species